rnacentral:rRNA from 1 species
AUGACAGAUCAGAUCUCCACUAUAAUCUUAAGGGUCGACCUUGAUUGCCACCAGUGCUACAAAAAGAUCCGCAAGAUUCUUUGCAGCCUUCAAGAUCAAGAGAGGAUUAGGACGAUCUCCUUCGACACCAACAAUAACGCAGUCAUCAUCGACGGGCCGUUUGAUCCACACAAGCUAUCAUGCAGGAUCAGAUGCAAAGGAGGCAAGGUGAUCAAGGGCGUCCAAAUCAUGGGCGACGGCAAGCCGGAAGAGAUGGCCGGGCCACCGCCGAGCAACAGUCGCAAAAAGAAAUCAAAAUCAAAGGGGAAGGGGAAGGGGUCACCGCCGCCGCCCGCUGAGCAGCCACAAGAAUAUCAUCCUCAGCCGCCCAGCGAGCAGCCACAGACAUACUACCCUCAGCCGCCCACUGAGCAACCACCGGCAUACCACCAUCAGCCACCCACUGAGCAGCCACCGGAAUACCACCCUCAGCAGCCCACCGAGCAGCAACCUGCGUACCACCCUCAGCCGCCCGCUGAGCAGCCACCGGAAUACCACCACCCUCAGCAGCCCCCUCCGGACAGAGAGAUGUCAGCGACCAUGCAGGCGGUCAGGGAGGAGGAGAGGCCGCAAGAGAGACCGGCCGAGCUUGAGAAGCCAAAGGAGAUGCAGGUCCAUUUCGUGCCAGAAGCAGGGCCGGAGUGCCACAAGAACCCUAGGGAGAGGAGGCACCCGAUGGGAGAGAUGCCUUCGUGGAACGGGCCGCCGAUGGUGGAGAUCCCCUCGCUGCCGGCGCGACCUGUGGGCCCGUGCCGCUGCACGUGCUGCGCGUCAUGCUACCAGGGGUACUACGGAAGUUGCAGGUGCUCAGACUGCGGCAGGACGUACGGCUACACCGCCGCCGUGGCGCUGCCGCCGCCAGCAGGUUGCUACGGUGGCGCACGCACGCCGUACUGCGGCGGAUACAGCGGCUACCGGGUUAUCUGCGAGGAGGAUCAAGCGGGUGCUUGCACCAUAAUGUGA